rnacentral:rRNA from 1 species
GGACUACUGGGGUAUCUAAUCCUGUUUGCUCCCCACGCUUUCGCGCCUCAGCGUCAAUCACGGGCCAGAUGGCCGCCUUCGCCACCGGUGUUCUUCCCAAUAUCUACGAAUUUCACCUCUACACUGGGAAUUCCGCCAUCCUCUCCCGUCUUCAAGCGCCGCAGUAUCAUGCGCAGUUCCCAGGUUGAGCCCGGGCCUUUCACGCCUGACUUGCAGCACAGCCUACGCGCCCUUUACGCCCAGUAAUUCCGAACAACGCUAGCCCCCUUCGUAUUACCGCGGCUGCUGGCAC